AUUCUGUUCUGUCUCUGUCUUGUCUGGAACAGUUGAUCGGGAUGCUGCUGGCAUGCUGUCUGUCCCGGUUUAUUACUGCUAACCAGUAUGAGAUGGUGUAACAAGUCUUUCAACAAGUGUGAAGUCCAGAGCCUGUGUGAAGACCAGGAGCUGCAGAAUCGGAGAAAGACUGACAUGAAUGUUCUAGCACACACUGUCUCUCGCACGCACGCACACCCCACGAGCAAGCCCGUGUGCGCGCACACUGCACCCCACCUCCCGAACUGUCCCAUGCGUAGUGUCCCAUCCUGUGAAGUUCCACGGUGCCACCCAGAGUGGCCGGGUCCCCUCGGCCCCCGGAGCCAGCGCCCACCGCCGCGGCUCGGCGCAGGACGGCACCGUCUGUAUGUUCUUGGUCACGCAGUAGUUGCAUCGUAAGUUAA